UGGGGAAUAUUGGACAAUGGGCGAAAGCCUGAUCCAGCCAUGCCGCGUGUGUGAAGAAGGCCUUUUGGUUGUAAAGCACUUUAAGCGAGGAGGAGGCUACUUGGAUUAAUACUCUAGGAUAGUGGACGUUACUCGCAGAAUAAGCACCGGCUAACUCUGUGCCAGCAGCCGCGGUAAUACAGAGGGUGCGAGCGUUAAUCGGAUUUACUGGGCGUAAAGCGUGCGUAGGCGGCUUUUUAAGUCGGAUGUGAAAUCCCUGAGCUUAACUUAGGAAUUGCAUUCGAUACUGGGGAGCUAGAGUAUGGGAGAGGAUGGUAGAAUUCCAGGUGUAGCGGAGAAAUGCGUAGAGAUCUGGAGGAAUACCGAUGGCGAAGGCAGCCAUCUGGCCUAAUACUGACGCUGAGGUACGAAAGCAUGGGGAGCAAACAGG
rnacentral:rRNA from 1 species